AUUGAACGCUGGCGGCAGGCCUAACACAUGCAAGUCGAACGGUAACAGGAAGAAGCUUGCUUCUUUGCUGACGAGUGGCGGACGGGUGAGAAAUGUCUGGGAAACUGCCUGAUGGAGGGGGAUAACUACUGGAAACGGUAGCUAAUACCGCAUAACGUCGCAAGACCAAAGAGGGGGACAUUCGGGCCUCUUGCCAUCGGAUGUGCCCAGAUGGGAUUCGCUUGUUGGUGGGGUAACGGCUCACCAAGGCGACGAUCCCUAGCUGGUCUGAGGGGAUGACCGGCCACACUGGAACUGAGACACGGUCCAGGCUCCUACGGGAGGCAGCAGUGGGGAAUAUUGCACAAUGGGCGCAAGCCUGAUGCAGCCAUGCCGCGUGUAUGAAGAAGGCCUUCGGGUUGUAAAGUACUUUCAGCGGGGAGGAAGGGAGUAAAGUUAAUACCUUUGCUCAUUGACGUUACCCGCAGAAGAAGCACCGGCUAACUACGUG
rnacentral:rRNA from 1 species